rnacentral:tRNA from 1 species
GGGAAUGUAGCUCAGUUUUAGAGCGCUCGUUCUGCAUGCAAGAGGCCCCGGGUUCGACCCCCGGCAUCUCCA